AGACAAGAAACACCACAGAAAUGGCAUCCACAGACCCAAAAAGCAAAGAUGUCCAGAUAAUAAAGGAGUUGACCCAAAGUUUUUAAGAACACAUGAGAUUUGCAAAAAACACAACAAGAAGGUUGCCAAGUAAAUAAAGAGGUGUUGAUGUCUGGUAUUUGAUGAUUCAGCAGUUUCCUUUUAUAAUGUAGAGCCUGCAAGUCAAUAAAUACUUGGCAAACCAAACACAA